AUUGUUAUAUUUUGACUCACCCUAUACUUGCGUAGACUCGCCAGUAUUUACUUCCCUUAAAAUUGACAAAAAUGAUACCACAUAUUCUUCAAUCGUGCCAGAAAAAAACAAUCGCAUCCUUCGCAUUAAUGG